GCCUCUGUAGCUCAGUUGGUUAGAGCGCUGCACCGGAAUCGCUGGUUCGAGUCCUGCCCGGGACC